AGCGGCCGAUGUCUGAUUAGCUACUUGGUGAGGUAACGGCUCACCAAGGCUACGACGGGUAGCUGGUCUGAGAGGAUGAUCAGCCACACUGGAACUGAGACACGGUCCAGACUCCUACGGGAGGCAGCAGUGGGGAAUCUUGCGCAAUGGGCGAAAAGCCUGACGCAGCGACGCCGCGUGGGUGACGAAGGCCUUCGGGUUGUAAAGCCCUGUGGGGAGGAACGAACCGUCCGGGGGCCGAACUACCUCCGGGCCUGACGGUACCGUCUUUAGUCAAGCAUCGGCUAACUCUGUGCCAGCAGCCGCGGUAAGACAGAGGAUGCGAACGUUGCUCGGAAUUACUGGGCGUAAAGCGCGCGUAGGUGGCCUUGUAAGUCUCGUGUGAAAGCCUCUGCUCAACGGAGGAAGU
rnacentral:rRNA from 1 species